UGAGGAAUAUUGGUCAAUGGGCGAGAGCCUGAACCAGCCAAGUCGCGUGAGGGAAGACGGUCCUAUGGAUUGUAAAACCUCUUUUGCCGGGGAGCAAAGAGCGGCACGUGUGCCGCGCCGAGAGUACCCGGAAGAAAAAGCAUCGGCUAACUCCGUGCC
rnacentral:rRNA from 1 species